rnacentral:rRNA from 1 species
GACGUAGGGCGCGAGCGUUGUCCGGAUUUAUUGGGCGUAAAGAGCUCGUAGGCGGCUUGUCGCGUCGAAUGUGAAAACUCGGGGCUCAACUCCGAGCUUGCAUUCGAUACGGGCAGGCUAGAGUUCGGUAGGGGAGAGUGGAAUUCCUGGUGUAGCGGUGAAAUGCGCAGAUAUCAGGAGGAACACCGGUGGCGAAGGCGGGUCUCUGGGCCGAUACUGACGCUGAGGAGCGAAAGCGUGGGGAGCGAACAGG